rnacentral:rRNA from 1 species
ACCCGCUGGACUUAAGCAUAUCAAUAAGCGGAGGAAAAGAAACCAACAGGGAUUGCCUCAGUAACGGCGAGUGAAGCGGCAACAGCUCAAAUUUGAAAUCUGCCACAAGGCCGAGUUGUAAUUUGCAGAGGAUGCUUUGGAAUCUGUCCCGUCUCAAGUCCUUUGGAACAGGGCGUCAAGGAGGGUGAAAAUCCCGUACUUUCGGGCCACAGUUUCCGUGUAAAGCUCCUUCGAAGAGUCGAGUUGUUUGGGAAUGCAGCUCUAAGUGGGAGGUAAAUUUCUUCCAAAGCUAAAUAUCUGCUAGAGACCGAUAGCGCACAAGUAGAGUGAUCGAAAGAUGAAAAGCACUUUGAAAAGAGAGUUAAAAAGCACGUGAAAUUGUUGAAAGGGAAGCUCAUGCAGUCAGACAUGGUGUCGUCGGCUCAGCCUUUUGGUGUAUUCCGACGAUGCCAGGCUAGCAUCAGUCGGGGCAGCUGGAUAAAAGUUUUGGGAAUGUAGCUCCUCGGAGUGUUAUAGCCCGAUUCAGAAUGCAGUUCGUUCCGACUGAGGACCGCUUACAGGAUGCUGGCAUAAUGGUGGCAUGAGGCCCGUCUG